AGAGUUUGAUCCUGGCUCAGGAUGAACGCUGACAGAAUGCUUAACACAUGCAAGUCUACUUGAACUUCGGUUUGGGUGGCGGACGGGUGAGUAACGCGUAAAGAACUUGCCUCACAGUUAGGGACAACAUUUGGAAACGAAUGCUAAUACCUGAUAUUAUGAUUUUAGGGCAUCCUAAGAUUAUGAAAGCUAUAUGUGCUGUGAGAGAGCUUUGCGUCCCAUUAGCUAGUUGGAGAGGUAACGGCUCACCAAGGCGAUGAUGGGUAGCCGGCCUGAGAGGGUGAACGGCCACAAGGGGACUGAGACACGGCCCUUACUCCUACGGGAGGCAGCAGUGGGGAAUAUUGGACAAUGGACCAAAAGUCUGAUCCAGCAAUUCUGUGUGCACGAUGAAGUUUUUCGGAAUGUAAAGUGCUUUCAGUUGGGAAGAAAAAAAUGACGGUACCAACAGAAGAAGUGACGGCUAAAUACGUGCCAGCAGCCGCGGUAAUACGUAUGUCACAAGCGUUAUCCGGAUUUAUUGGGCGUAAAGCGCGUCUAGGUGGUUAUGUAAGUCUGAUGUGAAAAUGCAGGGCUCAACUCUGUAUUGCGUUGGAAACUGCAUGACUAGAGUACUGGAGAGGUAAGCGGAACUACAAGUGUAGAGGUGAAAUUCGUAGAUAUUUGUAGGAAUGCCGAUGGGGAAGCCAGCUUACUGGACAGAUACUGACGCUAAAGCGCGAAAGCGUGGGUAGCAAACAGGAUUAGAUACCCUGGUAGUCCACGCCGUAAACGAUGAUUACUAGGUGUUGGGGGUCGAACCUCAGCGCCCAAGCUAACGCGAUAAGUAAUCCGCCUGGGGAGUACGUACGCAAGUAUGAAACUCAAAGGAAUUGACGGGGACCCGCACAAGCGGUGGAGCAUGUGGUUUA
rnacentral:rRNA from 1 species